GUUAAAUUAAAUUUAAUAAAUUUGUUAUAUUUUUAAAUAUAAAUUUUGCAAAACUUUGAUAUUAAUAAUUAAUAUAUAUUAUAUAUUUCAAUUUUCGGCGCGAUUUUGAACGAAUAAGAAAGCAUUCUGCUUUACCCAAUCAGAGCGCUUCUAGAUGACGCUGAUCCUGUCAUUUUUCGGUUGGAAAUUCUCACAACGUGACGCAUUACUGACUCGUGACACGUACCUUGGUUUACGGGAAUGCGAGAAUGAUACAUAGUUCCUUAUGAAACGGAAUCGAGUGCUUAUGAAAUUGGUGAUAUGGUGAUAAAAUUUGAUUACAUCUGGAUGGAUGUAACGUUGAAUGAGUCAUGAUGUUGGAGAAAAUUGAAUCGCAACGAUAAAACGUAAGUCAAAUUUUAAUCCUUUAAUCUAAUUUCGAAACGAUUUACUUUCGCUAAGCGUUAUUGCUUUCAUGAAUAAAAAAGGAAUUCGAAAAGCAAAUUGACUAUUGAUCAAAGAUUUAAUAGUAUACAAUAACUUCGGGGAAAAAUAAAAUUUUAUCGGAAUUUUCGAAUGGCCAGUGCGCGUGGAUUGAAUCGUGGAUGAAACAUAUUAUCAACAAUUUUAUUUUGAUGUCGUAACGAAACGAGUCGGAAAGCGUCGCGUUUUCCAUCGUUCCGUAAUAAUAUGAUAAAUUUUGCGAUCAAUUUGUCGACCCAUGCAUGGAUAUUCUAUUAAACGAAACAGUGACACGUUCCACGUAAAUAAAC